rnacentral:tRNA from 1 species
GCGGCGUAGCCCAGUUGGUUAGAGCAUUCGGUUCAUACCCGAAAUGUCGAGGGUUCGAGUCCCCCCGCCG